AAUUCCAUGGGUCCAAGGGGUCGCAAAGAGUCGGAUACAACUGAGCGACUUUCACUCAGAUGCCAUCAGCCAGUGAGGCCCCGAGGCUGCAGAGCUGCAGGCGAUGGUGCCCCGUGGAUGUGUGGAGAGGCACCGAAGGGUCCAAGUCCUACAAACACUCGCUUAGAGACCCCGUGGCCCGGGUUCUCUGGGAGCGCAGUGUUGAGAGGCGCCGUCUUCCGGAUGGGGACGCACCAAGGGGAUGGGAAGUGGAAUCUGCCCUCAUACGUCCAGGGGCCCCUCUGGAUGUGGUACCCAGGACCAGCCACAGUGAUGAGAAUUCCCGGAUGCCCACGCUUACCACCAGCUUUUACCAGGAGGCUUUGGAGUUUCAGGACUGCCUAGGUCACCUUUGGAGUUCAGAGCAGGGUAAGCGUUUACUAACCCAGCAACCAUGUAACUGA
rnacentral:lncRNA from 1 species